UGGGCGCAAGCCUGAUGCAGCCAUGCCGCGUGUAUGAAGAAGGCCUUCGGGUUGUAAAGUACUUUCAGCGAGGAGGAAGGYGUUGWGGUUAAUAACCKCAGCRAUUGACGUUACUCGCAGAAGAAGCACCGGCUAACUCCGUGCCAGCAGCCGCGGUAAUACGGAGGGUGCAAGCGUUAAUCGGAAUUACUGGGCGUAAAGCGCACGCAGGCGGUCUGUCAAGUCGGAUGUGAAAUCCCCGGGCUCAACCUGGGAACUGCAUCCGAAACUGGCAGGCUAGAGUCUUGUAGAGGGGGGUAGAAUUCCAGGUGUAGCGGUGAAAUGCGUAGAGAUCUGGAGGAAUACCGGUGGCGAAGGCGGCCCCCUGGACAAAGACUGACGCUCAGGUGCGAAAGCGUGGGGAGCMAMCAGGAUUAGAUACCCUGGUAGUCCACGCCGUAAACGAUGUCGUCUUCAGUUGUGCCCUUGAGGCGUGGCUUCCGGAGCUAACGCGUUAAGUCGACCGCCUUGGGA
rnacentral:rRNA from 1 species